rnacentral:miRNA from 1 species
AGGAGCUGCGGGACAAGAUUCUU